rnacentral:rRNA from 1 species
UGUUGGUGGGGUAACGGCUCACCAAGGCGACGAUCCCUAGCUGGUCUGAGAGGAUGACCAGCCACACUGGAACUGAGACACGGUCCAGACUCCUACGGGAGGCAGCAGUGGGGAAUAUUGCACAAUGGGCGCAAGCCUGAUGCAGCCAUGCCGCGUGUAUGAAGAAGGCCUUCGGGUUGUAAAGUACUUUCAGCGGGGAGGAAGGGAGUAAAGUUAAUACCUUUGCUCAUUGACGUUACCCGCAGAAGAAGCACCGGCUAACUCCGUGCCAGCAGCCGCGGUAAUACGGAGGGUGCAAGCGUUAAUCGGAAUUACUGGGCGUAAAGCGCACGCAGGCGGUUUGUUAAGUCAGAUGUGAAAUCCCCGGGCUCAACCUGGGAACUGCAUCUGAUACUGGCAAGCUUGAGUCUCGUAGAGGGGGGUAGAAUUCCAGGUGUAGCGGUGAAAUGCGUAGAGAUCUGGAGGAAUACCGGUGGCGAAGGCGGCCCCCUGGACGAAGACUGACGCUCAGGUGCGAAAGCGUGGGGAGCAAACAGGAUUAGAUACCCUGGUAGUCCACGCCGUAAACGAUGUCGACUUGGAGGUUGUGCCCUUGAGGCGUGGCUUCCGGAGCUAACGCGUUAAGUCGACCGCCUGGGGAGUACGGCCGCAAGGUUAAAACUCAAAUGAAUUGACGGGGGCCCGCACAAGCGGUGGAGCAUGUGGUUUAAUUCGAUGCAACGCGAAGAACCUUACCUGGUCUUGACAUCCACGGAAGUUUUCAGAGAUGAGAAUGUGCCUUCGGGAACCGUGAGACAGGUGCUGCAUGGCUGUCGUCAGCUCGUGUUGUGAAAUGUUGGGUUAAGUCCCGCAAUGAGCGCAACCCUUAUCCUUUGUUGCCAGCGGUCCGGCCGGGAACUCAAAGGAGACUGCCAGUGAUAAACUGGAGGAAGGUGGGGAUGACGUCAA